AUUGAACGCUGGCGGCAUGCCUUACACAUGCAAGUCGAACGGCAGCACGGGAGCUUGCUCCUGGUGGCGAGUGGCGAACGGGUGAGUAAUACAUCGGAACGUACCUAGUAGUGGGGAUAACGCACCGAAAGGUGCGCUAAUACCGCAUACGACCUACGGGUGAAAGCGGGGGACCGUAAGGCCUCGCGCUAUUGGACCGGCCGAUGUCUGAUUAGCUAGUUGGCGGGGUAAUAGCCCACCAAGGCGACGAUCAGUAGCUGGUCUGAGGGGACGAUCAGCCACACUGGGACUGAGACACGGCCCAGACUCCUACGGGAGGCAGCAGUGGGGAAUUUUGGACAAUGGGGGCAACCCUGAUCCAGCAAUGCCGCGUAUGCGAAGAAGGCCUUCGGGUUGUAAAGCACUUUUGUCAGGGAAGAAAUCUUUCAGGCUAAUACCCUUGGAAGGAUGACGGUACCUGAAGAAUAAGCACCGGCUAACUACGUGCCAGCCGCCGCCGUAA
rnacentral:rRNA from 1 species